AAACAGCUGUAACAACUAAGAAAAUGUAAACAACAAAGAUCGGGCCCCGGCUCCGGACCCAGCGUACCCGCCCAACCAUGAGACGAUAACCUACUCGUCUCCCACAUUUUGUUGCGUUUUCUUUAAGUGUAUAACAAUUAUAAUCAUUGCUUAUGGCAUUUAUCUUUGCAGCUAUUUCGAAUCUCAUAUUUGGUUAGCUUCACAGAUGAAUUAAUAUUCAUGCACGUGACGUUUCUUACCCGGCACUAAAUGGAACAGGCGAAGAAAUUUUACAAAGAUACGCUAGUCGCCGCAAAAAAAAACACGCACGGAGGCAAUUAAGAGGCAAUCGUUGCGCCAAUUUAGGAACAAUGUGCCCACACAACUACGUAAAACUGGGUAUGUCACGAUAAUCAGUCGAGCAACAGGUAGGUGAUAUAAAUUGUAUUAAAUCGAUUAAUUCCACAUUACCCUACCUAAAAAGCUCUCUGGGGGUGGUAAGGGGCGAUAUAAAUGGAUAAUUCC